rfam:Oryza barthii chromosome 1, whole genome shotgun sequence.
UUUAAGUUAUUAGGAACACAUAUCCAACGUUUGGCCAUCCGUCUUAUUUGAAAAUUUUUAAAAAAUUAGUCACUCAUAAAUUACUAUUUAUAUUUUAUCAUCUAAUAAUAAUAAAAAUACUAGUCUUUCUUUUUUCAAAUAAGACGGACGAUCAAACGUUGAACAUGAAAACCCAAAACUACACUUAUU